rnacentral:rRNA from 1 species
UACGAAGGGUGCAAACGUUGCUCGGAAUUAUUGGGCGUAAAGCGCACGUAGGCGGCUUAGUAAGUUGGAUGUGAAAUCCCUCGGCUUAACCAAGGAAGUGCAUCCAAAACUACUGAGCUUGAGUACUAAAGAGGAUCGCGGAAUUCCCGGUGUAGAGGUGAAAUUCGUAGAUAUCAGGAGGAACACCGGUGGCGAAGGCGGUUCUCUGGGCAUUACCUGACGCUGAGGAGCGAAAGUGUGGGGAGCGAACAGG